CGUCCCCGGGCCUUGUACACACCGCCCGUCAAGUCACGAAAGUUGGUAACACCCGAAGCCGGUGGCCUAACCCCUUGUGGGAGGGAGCUGUCGAAGGUGGGACUGGCGAUUGGGACU
rnacentral:rRNA from 1 species